rnacentral:rRNA from 1 species
GAUGAACGCUAGCGGGAGGCCUAACACAUGCAAGCCGAGCGGUAUUGUUUCUUCGGAAAUGAGAGAGCGGCGUACGGGUGCGGAACACGUGUGCAACCUGCCUUUAUCUGGGGGAUAGCCUUUCGAAAGGAAGAUUAAUACUCCAUAACAUAUUGAACGGCAUCGGUUAAUAUUGAAAGCUCCGGCGGAUAGCGAUGGGCACGCGCAAGAUUAGCUAGUUGGUGAGGUAACGGCUCACCAAGGCGAUGAUCUUUAGGGGGCCUGAGAGGGUGAUCCCCCACACUGGUACUGAGACACGGACCAGACUCCUACGGGAUGCAGCAGUGAGGAAUAUUGGUCAAUGGGUGCAAGCCUGAACCAGCCAUCCCGCGUGAAGGACGACUGCCCUAUGGGUUGUAAACUUCUUUUGUAUAGGGAUAAACCUACCCUCGUGAGGGUAGCUGAAGGUACUAUACGAAUAAGCACCGGCUAACUCCGUGCCAGCCGCCGCAGUAACAC